CCUGAAGAUUGCGGUGUGACAGUGCUCUGACUCCGUAGUAAGUAAGGACGCUACUGGAGUUGAUGUUCGGUGAUUUGGGGCGCGAGCCGUCGACCGCUGUUCGCCAUUGCAGGCAUGACAAGUUGUAUCCGGCCAAUUACCCCACUCCCGAGCCAUCCCGGUUGCUGCUCCAUCCCCUUGCCAAUCUGCGAAGGGUUGUAGUCUACCACAGCGUUUCCCAACCCAGUCCUCGAGGAACCCCUAUCAUGCAGAUUUUCAUUGUAACCCUGCAUAGGUAGCCCUGCUUGUACUUACUCAACAAAUCAUCUCACAGCACUUAAUUAUGCAAGGUGUGCAACAUCUGACAUAUUUCAUUGCUGAUUGGUUGAAUAACUACAAACAGGUACCUAUU